UACGUAGGGCGCAAGCGUUAUCCGGAAUUAUUGGGCGUAAAGAGCUCGUAGGCGGUUUGUCGCGUCUGCCGUGAAAGUCCGGGGCUCAACUCCGGAUCUGCGGUGGGUACGGGCAGACUAGAGUGAUGUAGGGGAGACUGGAAUUCCUGGUGUAGCGGUGAAAUGCGCAGAUACCAGGAGGAACACCAGCGGCGAAGGCGGCGCUCUGGGCCGGAACUGACGCUGAGGAGCGAAAGCGUGGGUAGCAAACAGG
rnacentral:rRNA from 1 species